AUUGAACGCUGGCGGCAGGCCUAACACAUGCAAGUCGAGCGGAUGAAGGGAGCUUGCUCCUGGAUUCAGCGGCGGACGGGUGAGUAAUGCCUAGGAAUCUGCCUGGUAGUGGGGGAUAACGUCCGGAAACGGGCGCUAAUACCGCAUACGUCCUGAGGGAGAAAGUGGGGGAUCUUCGGACCUCACGCUAUCAGAUGAGCCUAGGUCGGAUUAGCUAGUUGGUGGGGUAAAGGCCUACCAAGGCGACGAUCCGUAACUGGUCUGAGAGGAUGAUCAGUCACACUGGAACUGAGACACGGUCCAGGCUCCUACGGGAGGCAGCAGUGGGGAAUAUUGGACAAUGGGCGAAAGCCUGAUCCAGCCAUGCCGCGUGUGUGAAGAAGGUCUUCGGAUUGUAAAGCACUUUAAGUUGGGAGGAAGGGUAGUAAGUUAAUACCUUGCUGUUUUGACGUUACCAACAGAAUAAGCACCGGCUAACUUCGUG
rnacentral:rRNA from 1 species